GGCCAACCGAAAAGACAGUGAUAAGUCCCGGAGCGCAAAGAUGAUGACAGCUUGGCUGAGUCCUCUCAUUCAAAGAAGACUGUUAAAAGGCAGUAAUGGGGUAAUCCCCAGUCUGGUACCAUUUGGUAAUGGGGUUUAAUCCUCCUUUUCUUUCCUCUGUGGUUCAACCUGGAGUUUUCCCUAGAUAUUUUGGGUCACUCAUAGCCAGUGAGAUGUGUCACUGAUUUCCUCCAUAGACCGCGUUGGUCUUUGAUCUCUGCACUCUUUGGAACAUCCUUGGGAAAGGAACAGGAGCCAGGGAAGUGUGGGAUCCUGUGGCAAAGGGCUAGGCAGUGUCCCCCCGCCUCCCCAGCCUCAGGUCAUAUUCGGAGGUGUUGGGUUUGAUGGGCAGACAGCUUACCAUGCCCACCUCCUGCCUCAGAGGGUCUCUUAACUCUAGGGAUGAGGGAGAUGACAACAUCAGAAAGAUUACUUUGUCCAGCAACUGGAAAUUGACUCAGAGUAGGAUGGGGGCCGAGAGGAGGCUGAGAGGAUAGCCUUAUGACAUGCCUGAUUGUUGCCCCUAGGUGGUGGUAGUGGAACAAAACGGCUCUUUUCAAGUAAAGAUUCCCAAAAAUUUUAUUUGUGAACACUGCUUUGGAGCCUUUAGGAGCAGUUACACCUGAAGCGGCACAUCCUUAUUCAUACUGGUAAGUCUUUUGCUCAUAGUCAGUAGUUUGUAGUUUUUAGUGUGUGUGUGCAGCUCUUGUUGGGUUUGUUUUUAGAGGCCGAUGUGCUCACUUCAGCAGCACACAUACUAAAAAAUGUUUCAGAGGCUGAGCGUGAGAAAUAGAGGAAGAAGAUAAGUGAAUUAGCUGGAGAGAUUUCUAGUGUCACUGAGACCAGCAGCUUGAGGACCUUUCCCAAUUAGGUGUCUGCACAUUACUAAGAAUUAAACGUUUCUGGGAAAAUAGCUGGAAUGAAGUCCCUGCCUUGUGUACCUCCUAAUACUAACUAUCUCUCUCCACCUGGGCCAGGUGAGAAGCCAUUUGAGUGUGAUAUAGUGAUAUGCGCUUCAUCCAGAAGUACCACCUGGAGCGUCACAAGCGUGUGCACAGUGGCGAAAAGCCCUACCAGUGCGAACGUUGUCAUCAGUGUUUUUCUCGGACAGAUCGAUUACUCAGACACAAACGGAUGUGCCAAGGGUGCCAGUCCAAGACUUUCCGACGGGCAGUUUUCUCUAUAGGCGCAAGGGGCCCUGGGUGGUGGGAGUGAUCAGAAGAAUUUACCGAAGAGCGCACCCUCUCUGGUGUGAUGGUGCCACCACCACCCCCGUCUGUACCUGUCCCCCUCCUGGAGGAGUGGACCCAGGAAACCAGAAGAGUGCAUCAGGGGACAGCGGCCUCAGAGCCUCAGCUCUGUAAAUAAUCUGAGACUAUGAGUAUCUCUGGGACGUUCCUCCAGCAUUCCUGGGUAGGGAAGCUAGUCCCUGGACCCUUGGCUGAGGUUAUAGGUGGGGACUGAAGGUACAGGACCAAGACUGGUGUGGCUCCCACAGCCUUGGACUCCAGCUGGCAGCUGACAUGGAAAGGAUUGGGGAGAGGGAUUUGUUUGUUCUGUUCUGUUCUUGUUUUUGUUUUUCCAAAAGCAAUUUUAGCAGCUACACUGUGGAUACAGGUAAUAUGGAGGCAUAGAGCCCUGGUCAAAGCAGGGACUAUGGCUGGUCCAGCCCUCCCCAAAAUUGAGUUUUUGGUUGCAGUUGAUCCUCAGUGUUCACAGCCCUGCACCUCACCUUCUGUUU
rnacentral:lncRNA from 1 species